GGUUUCGUAGCGCAAUGGCAGCGCGUUGCUUUCCGGUUCUCCAGCUGGCAAAGGUUCUGGGUUCGAAUCCCAGCGAGAUCG